rnacentral:lncRNA from 10 species
CCCAGGCGGCCGUGCUCUCAGAUUCUCCUCUUCCCAGGCUGUGGGGACCUGCAGAGGAACCGGGCCAUCUCAAUUCCGCUCACUCUGUGAAAGUCCCCUGCUCAGAGAGGCCUUCCCUGGCCACCCUGCCCCUGGAGCCCCUUCAUCCGGGCCAUGGCCCUUCAGAGCCCCUCAACAGGCGCUGGUCAGACAGUCUGGCUGGACACUGACCUGAGGUGGGGCCGCUUGGCCCCCACUCCCAAGAGGCCAGAAGCACUUGCCCUCCAGUCGUGACAACCAAAAAUAUCUUCUGAGUAGCCCCAUGUCCCGGGGCUGAAUCUCCCCGGUGAGACUCACAGCCCUACACCCUCCUGGGAUGCCAGUUGUCCCGUCCUAGGCUGCGAGCUCCCUGGGCACAGGGCUGUCUGUUCCACGCACCAAGGAGCGCCUGUACCCAGCACGGGGCUUGGAAAUGGCGGGUGGACAUGACGGGUGUUCUGUGCUCUACGGUUCCCGGCUUCUGAUUUGCAAUUGUUCGGUAGAAACCGUACUUCCAGUGCCCACACAACCAAUCUGUUUUUCUCCUUCUUAUAGCAUUGGACAAAUUACGUGAGGCAUUUGAUGCAUUAUUAUAAAGGAGGCUUCGUGGGGGAUGACUUCGCCCAGCUGUAGGCUAAUGGAAGUGUGCUGAGUGUGUAUAAGGCAAGAAGGCUCAGCUGUGAUGUUCCGUGGGUUAAGUGUAUUAGAGCAUUUCAGCUGUCGGUAUUUCUAACCUACCACGGGUUUAUCAGGACGUGGCCUCACGGAGGGUCGAGGAGCACCUGUGUUUGUGGAGUGAAUGAAUGAAAUGAAUCAAUACUGGUUCUCAUGUAGCCUUGUCAUGCAGGCCUGGAGCUCAGAUGGUUCCUGGCUCCUGGUGCAGGCUCCUGGGGACAGCAGUCAGGCAGGGGCCCCAGGAAGCGCUGAGAGGUGGUGGCGCUGUGGGAGGGAGGUGGGGGCCGCGGCUCU